GGGAAACUACACAAAUACCAGAUACUGAAUGAAACUUUUUCAAAAUUUUUUGAUGUAAGAUUAAUGCAGGCAUAAUAAUUGAACAAACUAUUCUGCAGAGUUUCAAGCUGAAUGUGACUGUGUUGCGCUUAAUUAAAUAAUUAAACUAUAUGGAAUCACCAAUUUUCCGUAUUUUUUAUGAUCGAAAUUAACCUAAAUCUUAUUAUUUCAGUAAAUUGUUUUUGGGUCGUGUUCUUUCAAAUAAUUUUUGCUGUUCAUAUGGUACCAUGUUAAUAGAGGAGAAUUACAGUUUAACCACUACAAGUUACUCAUAUGAGUGACUGGUACGAGUAUAAUUCUAAGGAAAAAAAAAGGCUUCAUAUGUUAAUGGAACGAUCUAAAAAAACAAUCAUUGUAACUGCAGGAAGUAUUUUGGAUUUGUCUAGAUAAUUUUACAAUGAAACUGAAACAGUCAUAUUUACUACUUUGCUGUUUUAACUAAAGAGCGAAAUUGUGUCCAAAGAUUAGUUACAGCUGUCUAAACUAAGGUUAAACAAAUAUUUUGU